GCAUAGCGGUAUCCUGAGUAACGCGGGACACGAGGAAUCCUGCGCGAAUCUGCCGGGACCAUCCGGUAAGGCUAAAUACUCCCGUGAGACCGAUAGCGAACGAGUACUGUGAAGGAAAGGUGAAAAGAACCCCGAGCAGGGGAGUGAAAUAGUUCCUGAAACCAUACGCCUACAAGCGGUCGGAGCAUCGCAAGAUGUGACGGCGUGCCUUUUGCAUAAUGAUCCUACGAGUUACCGUCACUGGCGAGGUUGAGUGUCACGAGACACGUAGCCGCAGUGAAAGCGAGCCUGAAGAGGGCGCACAGUCAGUGGGGGUAGACGCGAAACCAAGUGAUCUACACUUGGCCAGGAUGAAGUCCCGGUAACACGGGAUGGAGGUCCGCACCAAUAAGCGUUGAAAAGCUUCUGGAUGAGCCGAGUGUAGGAGUGAAAGGCCAAUCAAACUUGGAGAUAGCUCGUACUCCCCGAAAGGCAUUUAGGUGCCGCGUCGGAUGGUCACCGUGAGAGGUAGAGCGACCGAUAGGACAAGAGGGCUUCACCGCCUAUCGAGUCCUGACGAACUCCGAAUGCUCACGGUCUGCAGUCCGGCAGUAAGGGGGCGGGUGCUAAGGUCCGUCCCCGAGAGGAGAAGAAUCCAGACCGCCGUCUAAGGUCCCGGAGUUCUGCCUGAGUUAGUCUAACGAAGUCUGGUCCCUAUGACAGCUAGGAUGUUGGCUUGGAAGCAGCCAUUCAUUCAAAGAGUGCGUAACAGCUCACUAGUCGAGGGUCCGGGCAUGGAUAAUAAUCGGGUAUAAGGCAGACACCGAAGGCGCGGGAUAGCAUUUAAGAAAGUAUCGGUAGGGGAGCAUACUCACAGCGUCGAAUGGUGUACGUAAGUUAUCCUGGAGCGGUGAGUAAAGCAAAUGUAGGAAUAAGUAACGAUAAGGAGGGUUAGAUUCCCUCCCGCUGUAAGACCAAGGUUUCCCGGGCAAUGCCAAUCAGCCCGGGGUCAGUCGGGUCCUAAGUCUAAGCCGAACGGCGAUGGCGAUGGCAGAGACGGUUAAUAUUCCGUCACUGCCGCAUGGGGCGACGUGGAGACGGAGCAGUGAAACCACCGCGGGGCGACGGAAGUCCCCGUUGAAGAGUGUAGGCGUUGAGGAUGGCAGGCAAAUCCACCAUCCGAGCUGAACUUGA
rnacentral:rRNA from 1 species